GGUUACCAAUCAGACCGA
rnacentral:snRNA from 1 species